UACGAAGGGGGCUAGCGUUGUUCGGAAUUACUGGGCGUAAAGCGCGCGCAGGCGGCUAUCCAAGUCAGUGGUGAAAGCCCGGAGCUCAACUCCGGAACUGCCAUUGAAACUGUUUAGCUGGAGUAUGAGAGAGGUGAGUGGAAUUCCCAGUGUAGAGGUGAAAUUCGUAGAUAUUGGGAAGAACACCGGUGGCGAAGGCGGCGAGCUGGUCCAUUACUGACGCUGAGGCGCGACAGCGUGGGGGAGCAAACAGG
rnacentral:rRNA from 1 species